AAGUCAUGUACACCAUGUUGACCAAAGUCACUGAAUGCUUGUCACUUCUCAUGCAGUUACCAUCAGAUCUGCUUCCUGGACUUAUCACGACAAUAGAAAUAGUCUUAGUGACUCAACCAUUCAACUCUUUUGGCUAAAUUGACCAGCCACUAAUUUGUAAGUGAACAGUAACUGGUCAGUUUUGUCAGAAUGGAUGCAGGCCUGGAGACAGUCAGAGUGGGGAACAUAGCUUUAACCUACUUUACCCCAAGGCCAGCUCUUUAUAUGUCUCUCGGGUUCAGACUAAAAGCGAUCUCGGGUCACUCAUCUUUAAAAAUAGGCAGACUGAGAAAUAGGAAGGUUGAACAAUUCAUUCAGAUUCUACUUAGAUGUCAUUCCCAGAGCCUAAAAUAGUUUUAAAGGGGUCUUAUUUCUCAACCUCCAGGAAGUGCCCCCAAAUGCAAAGAUCUUUGGGUUAAAAUGAAACCAAUCAAAAA
rnacentral:lncRNA from 1 species